GACCGUAGCUCAAUGGUUAGAGCAGCUGACUCAUAAUCUGCUGGUUGCAGGUUCGAGUCCUGCCGGUCCC
rnacentral:tRNA from 1 species